CGGGGGAGCACCACAACAGGUGGAGCCUGCGGUUUAAUCGGACUCAACGCCGGGAAACUCACCAGAUAAGACAGCUGAAUGAUAGUCGGGCUGAAGACUCUACUUGACUAGCUGAGAGGAGGUGCAUGGCCGUCGUCAGUUCGUACUGUGAAGCAUCCUGUUAAGUCAGGCAACGAGCGAGACCCACGCCAACAGUCGCCAGCUCGUCCUCCGGGAUGGUGGGGACACUGUUGGGACCGCCUCUGCUAAAGAGGAGGAAGGAAUGGGCAACGGUAGGUCAGCAUGCCCCGAAUUAUCUGGGCUACACGCGGGCUACAAUGGGUGGGACAAUGGGUAUCGACACCGAAAGGUGAAGGCAAUCUCCUAAACCCAUCCGUAGUUCGGAUUGUGGGCUGCAACUCGCCCACAUGAAGCUGGAAUCUGUAGUAAUCGUGUCUCAAAAUGGCACGGUGAAUAUGUCCCUGCUCCUU
rnacentral:rRNA from 1 species